GGCUUCUCCAGCUGAGCCGCAGAGGCGGCGUCCCUGCAGCCGGUGGGAGCUCACCUCUCGCUGGGCGCCGCGGAGGUGCAGAACCUGGGCCCGGGAGCAGCAGGGGAAGAAAGAGGAGGGCAAAGCGGGAGAGCGCAGGAAGAAAGCCCGGGGAGCUGUUCAGAUCAGACCCGCCUGCCCGGUGGUGGGCACCGCUGGAGCGGCUGCCCCCUCCUCCCCCAGGAAGCGCCGCUGCCCCUCGGGUUUCUCCGAGGAGAGGCGACCGGCGGCCGCGCCGCGCUCUGAUGGCUUAGGAGACCUGUGCGAGCUGGACCAGCCCCGAGAGCUUGCCGAAGGGGGAAGCGCCAGACGGGUGCCCCGGACACUGGUGCGAAUAGAUGUGAGAUCCAGCGGCGAGGAAGAGGCAUGGGCCAGCCUGGGGCCAACGACAUGUCCAACGCCGCUGCCUUAGGGAAUUUGGGGAAGGUGAGGGAGCUGCUGGACCAGGGGGCGGACCCCAAUGCAGUCAAUUCCUACGACAGGACGCCGAUCCAGGUCAUGAUGAUGGGAAACACCCAGGUGGCGGAGCUGCUGCUGCAGAGAGGAGCGGAUCCCAACCGGCCGGACCCGCGCACCGGCUCCCUCCCAGUGCACGAUGCGGCGCGAGAAGGUUUCCUGGACACCCUUGUGGCGCUGCACCGAGGCGGGGCUCGCUUGGAUCUGCGGGACACAUGGGGCCGCCUCCCCAUUGACCUAGCUGUCGAGAGCGGGCAUCAGCAAGUGGUCAGCUACCUCCGCGCCCAGCCUGCAAGGGGUGCCGCUCCGCCCCAGGCAUAGGGCACGGGCGUGUGGCCAGCCGUCUGCGGGGCUUUGCCCUGCUCAGCCACACACAGCACUGAACUGCAGGCACCAGAUUUUUACUUUGCACAAAUAUGUAUAUCAGCUUUUACUUGAAAAAAAUGAACGUUCAAACACAACCACUGUAAAGGAAACCAUGAAGCUGCUGCAAGUUCAACAGAUGUUUUCAGAGAACUAUCCACAAUGACUCCAAGAUCUCUCUGAGUGGCAACAUCUAAUUUAGACCCCAUCAUGUUAGUAGGCAGGUGAUGGCAGAAUGUACUCCUACUUCCAUUCUGGGGACCCAUACCCGGGCUACUCCGAUGGAGCACCUCACCCGCUCUGAGCACUCCCCAAGUCACCCGGGACCAUCGAGAAGUGUGCGAGGGACUGUGGGGAAAGCAGGAUGUUCACGCUGAAAAGCGGACACCAUGUCUCCAGGUCUAAACCACGGCUCAGCGAGUGGAAGGUUUCAUUGAGAUCCUGCAGUGUCGACUCUACAGACUGGGAGGCGGGAGGAGGGGUAAUAGGCGUGGGAUUGCAGCAAGGGUGUUCCGCCUGGCCGUGCACCGCUAUAUCUAGCCCAAAGCUACACUUUGGCUACACAUUUCUACAAAGUGCCCAGUAUCUAAACAUCUUCGCGGCUAGUGUAACUUCAUUGCGAAGUCGCCGUCUUCAUGUUUAGCAGCGCGGCGUGUUUUCUGAAGUAGCCGAGACAUUCGACGGAGGUUAUGCAGACGCAUCGCUAGGAAAAUCGCUCCCACAGACCGCGAGAAAGAAAAGAGCAAAAGCUAAAUUAGAGCUGCUGCCCAAGCCUGCAACUGGCUCUCCCGCAACCAGAAACAUACCGGAAGAACCUCAGAAACUGGGAGCUGAUCCUGCUACUCUAACUCGUGUGAGUCAUUCUUACUUACGCAAGCAGCUGCAAGGGGCCUAUUCGGCGGUGACGUUCACCACCGUGCAGAGGUGGAAACACAAAGCCUAUCGCAGCAACCGAGUGCCACUAUUUUGAGGGCUGGAAUGGCACUUCAGUAACUGCCCAGGGCUUGUGCU